rnacentral:rRNA from 1 species
GACUGGGAUAACACCUGGAAACAGAUGCUAAUACCGGAUAACAACACUAGACGCAUGUCUAGAGUUUGAAAGAUGGUUCUGCUAUCACUCUUGGAUGGACCUGCGGUGCAUUAGCUAGUUGGUAAGGUAACGGCUUACCAAGGCAAUGAUGCAUAGCCGAGUUGAGAGACUGAUCGGCCACAUUGGGACUGAGACACGGCCCAAACUCCUACGGGAGGCAGCAGUAGGGAAUCUUCCACAAUGGACGAAAGUCUGAUGGAGCAACGCCGCGUGAGUGAAGAAGGGUUUCGGCUCGUAAAGCUCUGUUGGUAGUGAAGAAAGAUAGAGGUAGUAACUGGCCUUUAUUUGACGGUAAUUACUUAGAAAGUCACGGCUAACUACGUGCCAGCAGCCGCGGUAAUACGUAGGUGGCAAGCGUUGUCCGGAUUUAUUGGGCGUAAAGCGAGUGCAGGCGGUUCAAUAAGUCUGAUGUGAAAGCCUUCGGCUCAACCGGAGAAUUGCAUCAGAAACUGUUGAACUUGAGUGCAGAAGAGGAGAGUGGAACUCCAUGUGUAGCGGUGGAAUGCGUAGAUAUAUGGAAGAACACCAGUGGCGAAGGCGGCUCUCUGGUCUGCAACUGACGCUGAGGCUCGAAAGCAUGGGUAGCGAACAGGAUUAGAUACCCUGGUAGUCCAUGCCGUAAACGAUGAGUGCUAAGUGUUGGGAGGUUUCCGCCUCUCAGUGCUGCAG